CCUACGGGGGGCAGCAGUGGGGAAUAUUGCACAAUGGGCGCAAGCCUGAUGCAGCCAUGCCGCGUGUGUGAAGAAGGCCUUCGGGUUGUAAAGCACUUUCAGCGGGGAGGAAGGCGUUAAGGUUAAUAACCUUGGCGAUUGACGUUACCCGCAGAAGAAGCACCGGCUAACUCCGUGCCAGCAGCCGCGGUAAUACGGAGGGUGCAAGCGUUAAUCGGAAUUACUGGGCGUAAAGCGCACGCAGGCGGUCUGUCAAGUCGGAUGUGAAAUCCCCGGGCUCAACCUGGGAACUGCAUUCGAAACUGGCAGGCUAGAGUCUUGUAGAGGGGGGUAGAAUUCCAGGUGUAGCGGUGAAAUGCGUAGAGACCUGGAGGAAUACCGGUGGCGAAGGCGGCCCCCUGGACAAAGACUGACGCUCAGGUGCGAAAGCGUGGGGAGCAAACAGGAUUAGAUACCCGUGUAGUC
rnacentral:rRNA from 1 species